AAGUGGGUCACUGUGGGGGCGGGCUUUGAGGUCUCUUUUGCUGAGUUUUCCCUCAGUGUGACUGUCAGUUGACUUCCUGUUGCCUGCAAGCUGUGGCCCUCUCAGCUUCUCCACUACGUCUGCCUGCACACUGCCACGCACGCCACCUGCACGCUGCCACGCUCGCUGCCACGCUCGCUCCCACGCUCCCUCUCAUGAUGAUAAUGGGUCGAACCUGUGGAACUGUAAGGGAGCCACAAAGUUAAAUGUUGUCCUUUGUGAGAGUUGCUGUGAUCAUGGUGUCUCUUCAGCAAUGAAAACCCUAACUAAGACAGUAUAUAUAUUUUUUUUAAUUUCCCCCUUGAUAAGCUGGAGAUGAACUCCAUGGCCUCGUGCAUGCUGGACCUUAUGAUACCUGGCUGAGCAAGCUCUCCCAGUGGAUUUGUGGUGUAUGGAUGGGAAGGUGCUACAGAGCUUCUGUCCUGCCAGGAAACAGCUCAAAA